AUUGCUAUAUAUAUGUAUCGGCAGUCAAAAUCAAAAAAAGAUAUUUCCAGGGAACUUGCACUAUCAUACUUUCAAGAAUGAUUCACCAUUCAAAUGAAUAAUAUACUUUCUGAAACUGGAAUAACAUUACCUAAUUUGACCCAAAAAGUGAUGGCUGCUACCAGAUAAGGAAGUACCUAAAAGCAAUGGACCCCCAAGGUGUUUAACAAGGAGUUAAGCAUAAUCAGGCAUUACUCUUUUCAGGAAUGUGAUUGGAGAAGCUUCAUUAGGUGCAAGUUCAUCAAAACCGAUGUAAUUUUGCUCCUUGUCGUAAACAUGGCACACUGUCAUUAUCGUCUUCAUCAGACGCCAAUUCCAUGUAGCCUCGUUCAGAU
rnacentral:lncRNA from 1 species